CUUUUACAAUACCAUUAUAAAGAGGACAAAAUGGAUCUUCAUUUUAACCUCCCGCGCAUAAUUCACUCUCUAUUUUGUUGUUAAUCGAAUUUCUCUCUCCUUUCUUUCUCUCUUCUCUUGACGUUGAAAAUAUUACGAGAGAGAAACGCAAGGAGAGAGAGGAAAACCAAAAAAUGGUUGUUUCCAAGGUGGUUGUUUUUCUUGGUCUGAUUCUCGCCGCCCUUAUGUCAGUGGCUUGCUCCCAAUCCGCUGCUCCGGCUCCUGCUCCUGCUCCCACAAGCGAUGGUAAUUAUUUUUUCUCUUUAAUACUACCUUAUUGUUGUAAUUACAAUAACACAAUUGAUAAUUUAUUCAACUUCUCCCUCUUAUGUUGAUCAUUCCAUACUCCAAUUCAUAGAUGGCAUGCACAUUCUUUUUAUUAUCCCCAUAAUUCCUUGAUUGUUUGUUUGGCUUAGUUAUAUUUUAUAUAAUUCUUUUUAUAAACUGAUCAAAAUAGAAUAUUCUCUUAUAAACCUAGGAAUUAUAUUGUUCCUCGAUCGUCCCCGUUCCUCAACACCUUCUAUGUUCCCCAACACCUUCUCUAUCCUCAACAUGAUAAAAUUUGUAUCCAUCUCCGUUCCCGUUCGGGGUCGAAUAUAACUGCCUCAUUCCCAUUCACAUUUUAUUCUCAUCAUUACAAUACCACAUAAUUGAUAAUUCAUUCAACUUCUUAAAUCUUAUGUUGAUGCUUCCAUUCUCCGAUUCAUAGAUGGCAUACCCCCUUUUAUUAUUAUUAUUAUUAUUAUUAUUAUUAUUAUUAUUAUUAUUAUUAUUAUUAUUAUUAUUAUCCCCAUAAUUAUGUGAUUCUUUGUUUGGCUUGGUUACACUUUUUAUAUAUUUUUUCUAAUCCUAAGAAUUGUGAAAUUAGAUCUAGCGCAGUGUUGGUCCAAUAUAUAUUUUCGUCUAAAGUCAAUUUUAAGGUGAUUUUUUUUAAUUAAUUAGAACAAUUUAUUAAUUAUUAUUAAUUUAUUUUAAUGAUAUCAAUUUAAUGUUAUUAUAAAUUUGAUAUUUCAAACCAUAUAAUUUGCACAAUAGUAUAACUUCCCAUUGCGUUCACAUGGGAAGAAUGAUCUAUUUAAUGAAAGAAUCCGUGAUUGAUUCCCUUCAUGUGCAAAAUUUGCUGGGUCUCUGACAAUUAUGCAUUGCAAAUAAAAUUAGUUUUUGAUCCAAUGGAUAAAAAAGACACCUGUAAUCAGUGUUAUGAAAACCGGUUUGGUCAUCGACUUGAUCAAGGCACCGGAUUAGUAGGUCAGAGGUCUAAUCGGUAGGUCACUUAUUGACAUUAUUACUAUCAUCCCCACAAAAAAUAUAUAUAUAAAAUACCUAACAAAAUGUGAUCAGUCCAUAUUUUUAUACUCCAAAAUUAAAUUAAGGUUUAAUUAAGUUUUUCAUAUCUGGAAUAUAAUCUGUUUUUAAAAAAUUACCUAACAUUUAUUUUUUCCUCCCAUAUACCUAAAAUUUUUGUGUGUUUCGUUUUGGUACAUGCCAUCAGGCUGCAUCCAUUAAGUGAUGACGUGAUAGACGGAGUGUUACGUCAUCACGCCUACUCACUAACCACAUAAUCACAGACCUCUCCACGUCAUUAAUUUCUGUUUUUUUUUUAAUUUAAAAAAAUGAAAGAUAGUGGUGGUUAAAAACUGUCACUAUCUUUAAUUCCAUCUUGUUCACCUUUUUCUUCAAAUCAGUGCAUGCCGAAGUGCAUAACUAAUCAUCAAACCAACCCUUUCAUUGUAACAACACACGUCAAAAUCUUCCAAAACCUAAUGCAAUUUCUUCAUUUUUUUAAAAGAAAAAAAUUGAGUAUAUAAAAUGAACGAACUAAACAGCGUAAGUACCCUAGCAAGCCUUGUCUCAGAGCAGCAACAUCGGAAGAACAAAGUAGAUGAAGAGCAACAAAAUGACAUUGUUGCCAAUUUGGGGGCGGGGGGGGGACUCCGUCGGAGAAAAGGGAGUAGUCGAGGAAGGUCAACAUUGUGGAUAGUGAGGGAGGGAGAGGAGAAGAGGUCGGGGUGGCUAAGGGGGACGUCGUCGAGGGUGAAGUUGUUGGGGAGUUGUCAAUAACAGAGAUGGAUUUUCCAACGAAGAGAGUGGGGAGGCGGGCACAGUAAGGGAGGAAGAGGAGGUCAGAGAAGGGGAGGCGUUGCGGAACCAUGUGGUAAGGCAGGAGGAGGGGAUCCAGUNNNNNNNNNNNNNNNNNNNNNNNNNNNNNNNNNNNNNNNNNNNNNNNNNNNNNNNNNNNNNNNNNNNNNNNNNNNNNNNNNNNNNNNNNNNNNNNNNNNNUGGUGUUUGUGAAGAGCAUCCCAAGGUGAACAUGAUGAAAUAAAGAUACUGCAGUUUUAACCACCACUAUCUACUUUUUUAAAUUAAAAUAAAACAAAAAUAAUGAUGUGGAGAGGCCUAUGCUUACGUGAUUAGUGAGUAGGCGUGAUGGUGACACUCUCUCUGUCACAUCAUCACUUAACGGAUGCAGCUUGACGACAGGUACCAAAAUGAAAUGCAAAAAUUUUCUAGGUAUUUGGGUGGAGGGGAAUGAAUGUUAGGUAUUUUUUUGAAAACAAGCUAUAUUUCAGGUAUGAAAAACUUAAUUAAGCCUUAAAUUAAUUAUGAUCAAACUAUAAAUAUUAAAUAAUUAUUUAUUAUUAUAAAUUAAAUUGUGGGUACUAUCAUUAAAUAACUAAGGAAAGUAUUAUUUUUCUGAACUAAAUACAAAAAUUAUCGGAUGACCUUAAACAAGUCUGGUGAAGAUGUAUAAAACACAUAACUAUUAAAUCAUUUCAGGAUUAAUAUGAUAAUAAAUAGUUAUUAUAUAUUUGUCGUUAUCAAGGUGGAAAAAAAUAUUAUUAUAAGAACAUAUUAUAUGUUAUUCAACAAUUAGUUAUUAACAAUUUAAAAUGUUAUAGGAACAAUAAUUUUUUUUUAUAAAAAAACAUCUCAACCCGGGUCAGGUCACUGGUUUCACCAAACCAAACUGAGCCAAAUCGGGUUGAUUACAUUUUUCAAUCCUACACCUUAACCGAACUACCUAGGGUAUCGGGUUAUGGUCCAAUCGAUCGGGCCAAUUCGAUUCUUAUAACUAUGCCUAUGAUCUUGAUCCAGAACAAAAAAAAAAUUAAUAUUUUAAAAAUUUUAAAAUGCAAAAUUAUUUAUUAAACUAUUGAAAUAUGUAAUUAAUAUUUAUGUUAGUCAAUAUUUUGUUCAGUUAAUUUAUUUCAAUGUUUAUAAAUUAAAAUAUUAAAUAUUGAAUGAUAGAGAUGUAUUUCAAUUAAGAUUAAUAUACUUUUCAAAACUACCAAAGAUAUUUCUGAAUUUAUUUUGCUAUAAAUAAUUUUUAAUCCCUUAAAACAACUACAACCGCAUUGUGAGAAUGACUAGAAUAAAAACUACAUACAGGUUAUAUCAGAAAAAAGAACAAUAGGACAAUAAUAUGUCAAUGUCGUUUUUUUUUUGUUUCUAUAAUCUCAAUCUCCUUUGAUUUUUUUUUGGUGAAUAAUCUCCUUUGAAUUUAUUUCUUCAUUUCUUUAUGCAAUAUAUGUAUCAGUCAUGCAUCAUAAAGACAUAUCUUGGAUUAACAGUCUAAUACCAAAUUGGGCUUUACAUCUUCAACUCUCAUAGCUUUCAAACCUAAAUCUCGGGCAGAGAAAGUAGCCUCUCACAUGAAAACUCACAUUUAAUAAUUUAAAUAAAGAGCAUUGCUUAAAUUAUUGAAUAAUCCAAAUUUGUUAUUGGGUAGCAUAAUGCAUUGCUACUAAAUUGUUCUUUGCAAUUUGUAGGCACCUCAAUUGACCAAGCUGUAGCGUAUGUUCUAAUGUUGGUUGCCUUGGUUCUAACUUACAUCAUGCAUUAAGGCAACUACGAGCAAUGACACGCCCUAAAUUAAUUGAUGAGGGCUAUAGGGCAUUUUUAUUUCAAGGACGUGUCAAAAGCACUUAGGAGGAAGAAAGAUUUUUUAAUUGGACCGAUGCAUUUUUGUUUAUCUUCUCUUGCUCCAAGGAUAAUCUCAUUUUGAUUUUUCAGUUGUUUAUUUAUUGUGCUUGUAUUUUUUUUUAGUUCGUUA
rnacentral:lncRNA from 1 species